CCUGUCCCAGAGCAGGGUGAGCUGUGUGCCCUGUCCCAGAGCAGGGUGAGCUGUGUGCCCUGUCCCAGAGCAGGGUGAGCUGUGUGCCCUGUCCCAGAGCAGGGUGAGCCGUGUGCCCUGUCCCUGCUGUGUUUGGGCAGAGUCAGAGUGAGGAGGAUGGAGCUGAUUCACCCCCUGGCCACAGGGCUGGGGCUCCCCAAGGCCAUCCCUGGGAUCCUCCUCCUGCCAGGGCUGGGCACAUCUCCAAGGGCAGCAGUGUCCAAGCAGUGUUUGGGGCUCACCCCUCGGAGCAAGGCUGGGAGGAGCAGAGCUCCCAGCUGGGGUCCCCAGGGAAGGGCUGAACCCAUCGAGAGGCAGUGGCAGGGAACAAAGGGGACCCAUGGGGAGCUGCAUUGCCCUUGGAAGGGUCACACAACCCCACAAAGCCCUUCCCAACCCAUAAUCCCCUGUAAUUCUGCCUUUAGUUUUCUCAUUUAUCUGUUAUAAUACUGUGGGUUGAUGAUACUUUUUUUUUUUUUUUUGUAUUCACUGAGAUCCUCGGGAGGUGACAUGAAUAAUAGAUACAUUAUUUUUUAAACUGCGAAAGUAGUUAAUGUGGAAAUGUCCUAAGCAGGCCAGGGAUCUGGCACUUUAGUUAAGUCCAGGUUUAAGUUUGAAGCUAAAUUAUCUGCUGGAGUGAAAUCAGAGUCUCAGCUGGAAAUAGUUUUCCACACUUUUUGGCUUUGAGAAAAAAGUGAAGUCAGCUGUGAAUCAAACUUAUAGCCUUUGGUCCUCUGGAAUAAAUGCAGCUUUGAGUCACUGACUGUGCUGCAAAUCCCACUUUAGUGUCUGCAUCCAGGACUGCUGUUAAAAACAAUCCCAGAUAAACCCAGCCCUGCCUGCAGCUGCUGUGGCCAGUGCUCCAGAUAAUGAGACAAAACCUGCCUGAGCUCAGUGGUUGGGGAGUUUUGACCUGCCUGGGAUGAGAGCUGGGAGCUGGGCUCUGCCACUGCCCAGUGCAGACUGGGCUAGAGCAAGAGGGAUCACUCACAGGGCAAACAACUCCAGUUCUGCAACACCAGACAGAGAAAGGGCAAGGACAGGCCAUUCCCUGAAACAAGGGCCAGGCUGCCUUGGGCACAGGAAGGUGACAAAGCCACCUCCUCCUGGCACCACAGAGUCCCCAAACCCUGAUGUCUCAAGCCCGUGUCCAUGGGAAUUACUUGUGCUCCUCCCCAGGCUCCACUGAACACAAUCAGCUCCCUGAAAACCUGGAAUUUGAAGCUAACAAAUGUGCAGCAGUAGAAGUCCAGGCUUUGUCCUUGCAUUUCCCACUUGGAGAGAAUGUGAACCUGGCAAACAAAGUCCUGCAAAAGAGGUCUUUCAGUGAUUAUCAGGACAACCUGACUGACUCCAAUGGCCGGAGCUGCAGCAGGGGGAGCAGCUCCCAGGAGCUGUUUCCAUCCAGAUUACUGGGAAAGAAGCGUGAAGUCACCCCACAUGAGAGAGUGUGGUAGCUUGGAUUGGAAAAACAAUGAACACUGCUGCUACCCUGGGAUAUAUCUGGGAAGAAAACAAGUCAUCAC